GGGGCUGUGGUUCAGUGGUAGAGCGCUUGUCUCAGAAGCAUGAGGCACUGGGUUCAAUCCUCAGCACCA
rnacentral:tRNA from 1 species